rnacentral:rRNA from 1 species
GACGAACGCUGGCGGCGUGCUUAACACAUGCAAGUCGAACGGAAAGGCCCUGCUUGCAGGGUACUCGAGUGGCGAACGGGUGAGUAACACGUGGGUGAUCUGCCCUGCACUUCGGGAUAAGCCUGGGAAACUGGGUCUAAUACCGGAUAGGAGCCAUUCUGAGUGUGAGGGUGGGAAAGUUUUUUCGGUGUAGGAUGAGCUCGCGGCCUAUCAGCUUGUUGGUGGGGUAAUGGCCUACCAAGGCGGCGACGGGUAGCCGGCCUGAGAGGGUGGACGGCCACAUUGGGACUGAGAUACGGCCCAGACUCCUACGGGAGGCAGCAGUGGGGAAUAUUGCACAAUGGGCGCAAGCCUGAUGCAGCGACGCCGCGUGGGGGAUGACGGCCUUCGGGUUGUAAACUCCUUUCGCUAGGGACGAAGCUUUUUGUGACGGUACCUAGAUAAGAAGCACCGGCUAACUACGU